rnacentral:piRNA from 1 species
UACAAUGGUGAGAGCAUAAUGUCAAUG